AAAAAGGGUACUCGUCUUUGCACUUCACGUAAUGGUUGCAGACGCACCUGCUUCUGUUUUGCAAUGGAUUGCGAUGCUAUUUUGCUUGCAGUUCUUGUGCAGAAGUAGUCCGAUGGGGUAUGGCUUUGCAUAUCCAGUACAUAAUUUUUGUAAUGCGGGUUAGGUGUACGCUGAAUUG